ACCAGGGCGCGAUCGGCGUCGGCAUCGACAUUCCCAGCGGCAUCACCAAGCGCGGGGUCUGGGGCAAGGAGAUCAUCCGCGAACAUCCCGACACCGAGCACAGCAUCGUCGGGUUGACGAUCCCGCGCUGGAACGAGCUGUUGCAGAUGGCGUCGCGCUGCUACGAACUGUCGGGCAUGGGCUAUGUCGGCGUCGACUUCGUGCUCGAUCGCAACCAGGGCCCGCUGAUCCUCGAACUGAAUGCGCGGCCGGGCCUGGCGAUCCCAGAUGGCGAACGGCAACGGCCUGCUGCAUCGCCUGCGCAAGGUCGAGGCGCUGAAGGCGGCGGGUGCGUUGUCCACGGUGCCCGAAGAGCGUGUUGCAUUCGCGCUCGAGAAUUUCCCGACCCCUGGGUUAACCCCCGAUCGCUUCGAUGCACGUUGCAUGCGGGAUCCGGCCUCGCGCCGGCGCGAACCGGAGGCAAAUGCCCGCAUUGUGGAAGGAUUCACGGUUUCACGGCUUGAGCAAAUACACUAAAGCCAGUUAGUCUUCGCGGUUCCCGUCGCGGCCCGGCAUUCGUGCCCGGACCGGCCUACGAGUCGAGGUGUCUCCAUGUCCUUCACGAAGCUGUUCAAGACCAUCGUCGUCGCGCUGCUGCUUGGCCUGCUGCCUCGGGGUCGGUCCUUGCGCGGACCAAGAAGGCCGAGAAGAAGGAACCGAUGUUCCGAACGCGACGCGCGAGGAGCCCAAGAUCAAGCCGUCGUCGAAGGUGUCCAAGCAGCUGGCGAAGAUGUUCGCGCUGUCGGGACGAGGAGAAGUACGACGAGGCGAUGGGCGUUGCCGACGAAGUCAUCGCGCACAAGAACGCAGGCCCAUACGAGGAAGGCGCUGGCCUACCAGAUCAAGGGUUUUCGCGUGGCUGGAGAAGGACGACUACGGCCAGGCGAUCCCGCUGCUGCAGAAGGCGAUCGACGAGAACGGCCUGCCGAACGACAGCCACUACCAGAUCAUGUACCAGAUCGGCCAGAUGCAGGUCUCCGAGGAGCAGUACGACGCGGCGUUGAAGACGCUCGACCGUUUCCUCAGCGAGACCAAGUCCGAGAAGCCGGACUACCUGGCGAUGAAGGGCAAUGCGCUGUACCGCCUGGACCGCUUCGACGAGGCGGCGCCGUGUUGCGCAAGGCGAUCGAUACGUCCGACAAGCCGCAGGAGGGUUGGAGCCAGCUACUGAUGGCGAGCUACUUCGACCAGGACAAGCCGAUGGAGGCCGCGAAGAUCGCGGAGGAAAUGCUCGCGAAGCAUCCCGACGACAGAAGAUGCUGAUGAACCUGUCGUCGAUCUACGCCGGCGCGGAUCAGUACGACAAGGCGAUCGAGGUGCUCGAGCGCGCGCGCACCAAGGGCCUGCUAAACGAGGAGCGCGACUACCGCCAGCUCUACGCGCUGUACCUCAACGCCGAAGGCAAGGAAGCGCAGGGCAUCGCGGUGAUCAACGAGGGCCUCGAGAAGGGCAUCCUCAAGCCGAGCUCCGAGGUCUACAUCGCGCUCGGGCAGGCGUACUACUUCAGCGACAAGAUCAAGGAAUCGAUCGACGCGUACCGCAAGGCGCUACCGUUCGCGAAGGACGGCGAGCCGGCACUGAAUCUCGGUCGCGUGCUGACCAACGAGGAAGACUACGCGGGUGCGAAAGCGGCCGCGCAGGAAGCGCUGAAGAAGGGCGUCAAGAAGCCUGGUGACGCGUGGAUGGUGAUCGGUCGCGCCGAGUUCGGACUCGGCAACAAGGCCGGUCUGAUUGCGGCCUACAAGGAAGCUG
rnacentral:misc_RNA from 1 species